rnacentral:lncRNA from 1 species
AUAAAAACAUUAAACAAAAUAUUCUAUUUUCUUAAAACAUAAUAUUUUCAAAGUCUUCCUAAAAUAACUUUUGUAGCGUAAGAGUAAAAUAAAUUUAUUCAUAUAGUAAUAAAGAUAAUUAAAGUAUAAAAUUUCGUUUACAGUGACACGUGGGCCCCCAACUGACUAAGAAGAUGUAGGGCUACGAACCCUUACUUUCUAGGAUGCAACUCCGAGAUUAAUUCUCGUCUUAAUCAACUAUCAACAAACUGUCCUGAGCCUGAAAAAUGGAUAGGAAGAGGGGUGAGAUU